rnacentral:tRNA from 1 species
GUGGGUGUAGCUCAGUGGUAGAGUGCGUGCUUAGCAUCCGCGAAGCCUUGGGUUCAAUCCCCAGUACCUCCA